GGAGGGAGCUGUGUUUGGAACUCUGCCAGGGUCUUCACACGGAAAGGGGCAGCUGAUGGGAGUUGUGGUCUUCAGUAGAAGGACACAGCCAAUCAGUGACAUGGCAGGGAGGGAGUGAGAGAAAUAUAGACGCUAACUUCUCUCUCCUCCCACCGUCUGUCUCUGCUGGUGCUGUCCACUGAAUGAACUUGACACAAAGCCAUCCACACUGCCAGUGCCCAGAGCAGGCUGGAGAGGGACCAAGGAUGGAAAAGGAAGACCUCCUGCACAGGGUGUAUCAGUCUGGGUCCGAUCAGGAAAACAGAAGCCACUCUGCAUGUUUCAGCGUGGCUUGACGAGUGGUGCUAGGUCUGCGCCCGGGAUCCAAACCUGCAAACCUUGGGCCGCCGAAGUAGAGCACACGAACUUAAACACUAUGC
rnacentral:lncRNA from 1 species